ACAUGCUCUGAUUCGCAAUUUUAAAAGAUCCUUCUAGCUGGAGCACAAAUCCCAAAACAGAGCCACUUUUUUUCUUCGGUGUGUUUGGUAACACAUUAAAAUAGAACUAUAAUCAAGCAAUCCAAUCCUUUAAAUUUUUCUCCUAGUAUCUGGAAAACAGGUGCAGAAAUGGAUCAUUUAAGACACCAUAGAAAUCUGGUUAAUCCUGCCUGCCUGCUUUCCUU
ensembl:misc_RNA predicted gene, 27539